rnacentral:tRNA from 1 species
GUAAAAUGGCUGAUAAAGGCGAUAAAUUGUAAAUUUAUUUAUGAAUAAAAAUCUUUUGCU